rnacentral:rRNA from 1 species
UGUUAACCGAACGGCAUGGGAAGGCCGGUCAGAGAGUGUGAGAACCACGUAGGUGAAAACGGAAAGAGCUGCGCAGAUUCCAGAGUACGGCCAGACACGUGAAACCUGGUCGGAAGAUGGGGGGACCACCCUCCAACCCUAAAUACUACCCAGUGACCGAUAGCGUAUAGUACUGUGAAGGAAAGGUGAAAAGCACCCCGGGAGGGGAGUGAAAAAGAACCUGAAACCCUGUGCCUACAAGCACCUAGAGCGCGUCAAUGCGUGAUAGGGUACUUUUUGUAGAACGGUCCGGCGAGCGAUUGUAUGCAGCAAGGUUAAGGACUUAAGGUCUGGAGCCGAAGCGAAAGCGAGUUUGAAAAGGGCGUUAAGUUGCAUAUAAUGGGCCCGAAACCGGGUGACCUACCCAUGGUCAGGUUGAAGUGGAAGUAAAAUUCCAUGGAGGACCGAACCGACCUCCGUUGAAAAGGCGGCGGAUGAACUGUGGGUAGCGGAGAAAUUCCAAUCGAACCCGGAGAUAGCUGGUUCUCCCCGAAAUAGUUUUAGGACUAGCCUCAAGUUAGAUACCUGGAGGUAAAGCACUGAAUAGCCUAGCGGCCGAGAGGUUAGCGAAGCUUAUCAAACUCAGAAUGCCAGAGUAUUGAUGCUUGGGAGUCAGACAGUGUCAGAUAAAUGUCAUUGUCAAAAGGGAAACAGCCCAGAUCUACAGCUAAGGUCCCAAAGUCAGGUUAAGUGGAAAACGAUGUGAAGAUACGCAGACAACCAGGAUGUUGGCUCAGAAGCAGCCACUCAUUCAAAGAGUGCGUAAUAGCUCACUGGUCGAGCGUCUUUGCGCGGAGAAUUUAACGGGGCUAAACCUGACACCGAAGCUUAGGCAAUCCAGUAAUGGAUUGGGUAGGGGAGCGUUGUAUACGCGGAGAAACAGUAGCGUGAGCGGCUGUGGAGUGUAUAGAAGUGAGAAUGCCGGAAUGAGUAGCGCGAAUGCAGUGAGAAUCUGCAUGGCCGAAAGCCUCAGGUUUUUGGAGGAAGGUUCGUCCGCUCCAAGUUAGUCGGGAGCUAAGGUGAGGCCGGAAGGCGUAGCCGAUGCACAGACGGUAGAGAUUCCGUCACCACCAAAAGAGUUAAGCACAGGGACACAUUUGAAGUCUCAGAGCCGGGUGUUGGUUCCGGUAGAGAUCGAGGGAAGUUAGUACCGAAGUCUGGGAUGGAAGAUGGCGAGAAAAGCUGUGUGUAUUUCUGAGGUGCCCGUACCGCAAACCGACACAGGUAGGUAGGAAGAAGAUUCUAAGGCCAACGGGAGAAGGGUUGUUAAGGAACUCGGCAAAUUGACCCCGUAACUUCGGGAGAAGGGGUGCUCCAGAGAUGGAGCCGCAGAGAAUCGGCCCAAGCAACUGUUUACCAAAAACACAGGUUUGUGCUAAAUCGAAAGAUGACGUAUACGAGCUGACGCCUGCCCGGUGCUGGAAGGUUAAGAGGAGAUGUGCAAGCAUUGAAUCGAAGCCCCAGUGAACGGCGGCCGUAACUAUAACGGUCCUAAGGUAGCGAAAUUCCUUGUCAGGUAAG